CACUCCUGCCCGCCGAGACCACGCCCCUGGCCACGCCCCCCGAAGGCCCCGCCUCCUCUACGUCUCUGUCGGCCCCGCGGGUCCCCUGCACAACGAAGAUGGCGGCCGCGGCGGGAAGGUUGAUCCGGGCUUCGCUCAUCCGACAUGUGAGUGCCAUUCCUUGGGGCAUUUCUGCCUCUGCAGCCCUUAGGCCUGCUGCUUCUCGAAGAAUGUGCUUGACAAAUGCAUUGUGGUCUGGUUCCGAUCAAGCAAAAUUCGCCUUUAGCACCAGUUCCUCAUACCAUGCCCCCGCCGUCACCCAGCAUGCACCCUAUUUUAAGGGUACAGCUGUUGUCAGUGGAGAGUUCAAAGAAAUUAGCCUUGAUGACUUUAAGGGGAAAUAUUUGGUGCUCUUCUUCUAUCCUUUGGAUUUCACCUUUGUGUGUCCUACAGAAAUUAUUGCUUUCAGUGACAAAGCCAAUGAAUUUCACGAUGUGAACUGUGAAGUUGUUGCAGUGUCGGUGGACUCCCACUUCAGCCACCUGGCCUGGAUAAACACACCGAGGAAGAGUGGUGGUUUGGGCCAUAUGAACAUCGCACUCUUGUCAGAUUUGACCAAACAGAUUUCCCGAGACUAUGGUGUGCUGUUAGAAGGUCCUGGCCUCGCACUACGCGGUCUCUUCAUAAUUGACCCCAACGGAGUCAUCAAGCAUCUGAGUGUUAAUGAUCUCCCAGUGGGCCGAAGCGUGGAAGAGACCCUCCGCUUGGUGAAGGCGUUCCAGUUUGUGGAAGCCCAUGGAGAAGUCUGCCCAGCCAACUGGACACCCGAGUCUCCUACAAUCAAGCCCCAUCCAACUGCUUCCAGAGAAUAUUUUGAGAAGGUAAAUCAGUAGACUGUCCCGUGCACACCUGCAGCUUCCCACACCAGAAAAGAGCCACAGUGGGAACUCACUUGUAGGUUUUCAAAGAUUAGUAUUUAUAGCAGGCAAAAAAAAACAAACCCAAUGAUGCUUAUAUUCAUAAAGAGUACUACUAUAAAUGUUUUGUUCUUGUAAUGUUGGCCAAGGCUUUUAAAAUGUUUUCAGUUACUAAUAUAAUGAGUCCAAGGCAAGGUGUGGAUGGAUGGCUAGUUUCUACAGAGUGUGUAUGUGGUUCACCUGUUUCUUGGAUCAUGUCUUCAAUGGGAAAAGGAAACAGAUCUUUUUCCUCAGCCUUACUUGAAGCUUUGUGUAUACCAGAGUAGUAUGAGAGGUAUUGAAAACUUCUGAUCAAGGGUCCUGAAAUUUUCCUCUUGAAUUUCUUUGUAUUAAACUGAAUUUUCUUUAAAGAACAUAGUUUUAAGUUGUUAGUAUCAGUGGUCUAAUUUAACGCUUGCAAUGAAUGUAUGGUUGAAGGAAAUAUGAAUCAUGUUUUUUUUUAAAAAAACCACAGUGGCACAGUGACUUAACUGAUCAUGCAUGUUCCCCACUCCUGAGAUUUAUAGUUUAUAUAGUUAUUUUACUUACUUUGUUAGCUGACUUAUGUCUACAUACAUUUCUAAUAUUGAUUGGGUAUAAUUAGAAAGGAUAUUAAUUGAAUCCAGGGAUUGCAGUAUGAAUUUGAAUCAUUCAUGCAUUUGAAUUAUUGUAAUGAUUUUCUUUCUUGAAGUGUUCCAUGUAAAAAAUAUAAUAAAUAAUAAACAUAUUUUAAAAUACUUGGAUUUUUAACACCAUUAAUUCUUGCUUCAGCUUAUAUUGUGGGGCUCUCUAGUUUUCCUUCUCUGAUUAUAUCAACAGACAUUUACUGCGCAUUUAAUUCACUGGCUACAAAGAUGAAUAAGAUGCUGGCUACACAUCCAAGGAGCUGGACAAAAGAAAUAUGGAAGCAUUUAUUCAUUUAAUGGUUUCCCUAGUGGCUCGGAUGGUAAAGAAUCUGCCUAUAAUGUGGGAGACCUGGGUUCAGUCCCUGGAUUGGAAAGAUCCCCUAGAGAAGGGAAUGACUAUGACUCCAGUAUUCUUGCCUGGAGAAUUCCAUGGACUGAGGAGCCUGGCAGGCUACAGUCAAAUCCUGGAGUACCUACUAUAUGCUAGGUACUAUUUUGGAGGCAGAAUGAACAAAAAAGACAUACCUCUUCCUUUUUGCACUUACAUUGUAGAGGGAAUAAACAAUAACAUUACAUAAAAUGGAAGGACAAUAGAGUGAAACAAGGGACUAGAGCAGAGAGGUGCAGGUAUUUUAAUAGGGUUUCAGGGAAUCAAUCUCUCCAGGUCUGUUUUCUCAUCUGCAAAAUGAGGACUCUAAUUGUACCUACCUUAGGGUUUUGGUGUCAAAUGAGAUAAAACAUGGAGAAGGUGAGGGAUAAAAAGGUUCUAGGCAAAGCGAAUGACAGGUGCAAAGGCCCUGAGGCAAGAGUGGACGUGGGGUGGGUGAAGAAGGACCAUGUGACCGGACCUGUGAAGGAGGAGAAUGGUAAUGGGGAGCCCAGAGUGCUUUAUGGGCAAGCUAAGGACUUCGGAUUCUAUUCUGAGAUGGGAAAUGGCAGAAAUGUUUUGAGAAGAGUUACAUCAUCUUGUGCUUAGAGGAUCACUCUGGCUCCUCUGUUAAGACUAGACCCCGUAACUGCAGAGAGGAAAGCAGGUCAGCGGGGCUGGAUUUGUGACAUACUUGGAGUAGAGCCAGCAGGAUAACACAGAUGUGCUAAAUACUUCGGUGCAAUAGAUGCAUUCCAGGGAACUCUGAACAGGGGGACACCUCACCUGACUAUGGGCAUCAAGAAAGUCUUCCUGGAGGAGGAGAUGAAGUCUUGGAGAUACGGAAAAGUGACCUGUGGGAGCUGAAGUGCCACAUGGGUCUGAAGAAAACCAUGAACUGCUCUCAUAUUCCAGGAGGGGAAGUCAAAGGGAGGGCCAAGGCCAACUGGCUGCAAGUGGUCCAGACUGAGCACUUCCUAUGGACCCAGCACUGCUAGGGCUUCCACAUGUCUUAUCUCAUUGGACCGACAACAAAAACACAAUAGGUACAAUUAUUGUCAUCAUUUUACAGAAUGAGAAAGUAGACUUGAAGAUACUGACUUGACCAUGGUCACACAACCAAGUAUUCUAUGGCACCAGGUCCCUAACCUAGGACUCCUGAGGAACACCCUCAACAUCCAGCCUUCCACAAACACACAUAACCCUCACACACCCCAGUGCUGGGGAAGCGGAUGGAGGCAGAAGAAAGGCACAUUUUCGUUUACAAGUGGUCUCUACCUGCUCUCGUGCACAACAGAGGAAACUGGAUUUGCCCCAGAGCGAGGGGAAAGCCCUUGGGCAGAGACACUGCCUGGGAGGCAGGGCUAGGGAACCCAGAAGGGCCCCGGGGCUUGCUUUAAUACUUUCAAGUCGACUUCUGAAAAUUCGAAAAAGAGGUACCACUGGGCCGCACAAAUUAUGUAGUGCGUCCUACCCCCCCAUCCGGUGUCCGCUGGACUUCGGGUGCAAUCGAAGGGAUUUCCGAGGAUUAAAAAACCUGUGCUCGGGGAGGUCAGACGCUGCAGGAGUGCAGGGUGAGGCUGUGGAAGGUGCCUCGCGCCCCUGAUCGGAUCUUCGCUGUAGGUCCCGUGAUAUGGGGGUUACAUAGGUGCCCCAUCUAGGCUGGAGGCGGCCAGCCUACCUGAAAGUGAGGAACAAGGUUGGGAAGACCUGGCCUAUGGGGGAGGUGGGCUCCAGGCAACAGCAGGGGUGCAGGAACCCGGGAGCUGGAACAGAGCGCACGCGGUACGGAGGAGCCGUGGGCGCGCGAGCCUGGGAGCCGGGAAUCAGGAGCGGGGACAGGGGACGCGCGCGCGCCCGGGGCGGGGCUCGCCGCCUGGCUCCUCCUCCCCGCCAGACCCGGCCGCCGCGGCCUUUCCUGGCAGCUCUUAAGGUCCCAGGAAGAGGAGCCCGGAAGAGGAGGAAGAAGCGCCGGGGGCCGGGCGGCUCCCAGGGUGCAGCGGCGCCGCCGCCCGCAUGGAGCCCAACGUGCGCUUCUGGAUCACCGAACGCCAAUCUUUUAUUCAAAGAUUUCUUCAGUGGACAGAAUUGUUGGAUCCUACGAAUUUGGUCCUUUCAAUUG